GUGUUUAGCUCAGUUGGGAGAGCGACGGCCUUACAAGCCGUAGGUCACAGGUUCGACCCCUGUAACAC
rnacentral:tRNA from 1 species